ensembl:lncRNA
UGGGUUCGAUCCCCGGGUUGGGAAGAUCCCCGGUUGGGAGGAGGGCAUGGCAACCCACUCCAGUAUUCUUGCCUGGAGAAUCUGCAUGGACAGAGGAGCCUGGCAGGCUGCAGUCCAUGGGGUCGAAGAGUUGGACAUGACUGAGCAACUAAGCACGGCGCAUAUUGAAUUAAGUCACAUUUGCAGAGUUGCUUCUAAUGACCACUCACCACAGCAUCACAGUCCUGGUAUAGAGCUGGGUUUUUCAGAAGAUGAAGACUAGUUUCCGAGGCACGACACACAUCAGCAUCAGGACUGGCUGGCUGGCCUGAGUCUGGUAAGCAGGGUGCAGCCUCCCAUUGGCAUGUGUGGUGUUUUAUGAUGGCUGUUUCUGAAAACCUGCUGUGGAAUCAGUAAGUUUUAACAGGGAAGUGACUGUUUAUAAAUAUACAUGUCCUAUAAAGAAGUUUAGUCCUUUUGGUAUAUGCAUAUUUAACAUCCACCCCGCCACCCCCCACAGCCUCUUUGAUUAGGUGAUUCAACUUUUCUUGUCUUGCUUUUUUUAGGUUAAAGUGAAGGUGCGGGCUCUCUAGUGGAAAUACUGUUAAUGAGUUGGCUGGAAUUGAAUUUCAAAACUCUAAAUCUUGUAAAUUUUUCUAAGGUAAAAACUUGACUACGUCACUAUCAUGAGAUCCUGUUAGUUUCAUAAAAAGGUCCCAUGAAGUGGUUUCAUUGGAUGGUGUAAGAGGUGGUGGCUUUGAAGCAUUUUGUAUUUUAUCAGUUUGACAUUUGGCUAAUGGAUUGGUGAGGUCAAGGGUGUUUUGUUUUUGGUACUAAUGCAAAAGUAAAUGCAAAAAUGAAUUAUGACUUUUUAAAGACUUUAACACAGAUUUGUUUGAAAGGAAAGUGAGUAUCAAACUUGGGAAUACAGAAAUAAGACUAUAGGAAAAUAAGCCCAUGUUGUGUAUAGUGGCAUAUAUUCUAUGUUUAUCCUAUGCCUGUGCUAUCUUUGUGCUUGGCUUCAAACUACGUGUUUGUUUACAUGCAAUCUUUUUUGAAAUAAAAAGAACAGGCAUCCAAAAACUUGGGUUAUAGAAAGGGGACUUUUUAAAAUUCUUACCAUCUGAUUAGGUGGUAUGUUUUAGACUUUUAGUAUGUAAGUAAAACAGCCUUGAGACUAAAUAGCACAUUUUGCUUGGAAUACCCCAUCCAGAGGAAUCCACUGCUUCUCUGCACUGUACAUAUGUACAUAGUGUCCACGAUUAGAUUGUAAGCUCCUCGAGGGCAGGAACUGUCGUCUUGUCUUGGGAGUUCCUGCAGUGCCGAGUGUGAAGUGCCUUGCACAGCGUAGGUGCUGGUGACACAGAGAAGGAGUGAGUAGCUUCCUGCCACCUUUAUGACGAAGCUUGGUUUACUUUCUCCGCUGUGUUGAGAACUGCAAAGUACUAAUGAUGGGAAGAGGGCAAAAUUCUUUCUUGGAUUUCAGCUGGGUCUCCUGAGCUGAAGCAGACCAUGCUGUCUCCUUGGCACUAGUUAUCUUCUUGCCCUGAAGACAUACUAGUGUCCUGAGCUUUUAUAUGAUAAAAGGGCGGCAGUCUCUGGGCAAAGUUUGAAGUGGGAAAGAUUAUAGAGAAAAUGAAGUGGAAAUUUUGGAGGGUGUUCAUCAAAUGCAGUCCUGUGGGGCAAUCUUACUUUAGUUAUUACUAAAGGAAAGGAUAGCAAUUCUCUUUCUUUACCAGUUAGCUGGUUGGCCAAUUUUCCAGUUAACAAAAGAUUGUUGGGUUUUUUUUUUAAACUUUUUCCCAUUUUGCAUUCCCCCCUCAAUUGCUCUUUAUGAUUCUAGUACUUAGAGUCUAUUAAAGUUGCUGUGAAUAUCCAGUGCUGUACAUAAUGGCAGUUUUGUAAAUGUGAAAUAACCUCAAUUAUGUUGUGUUUUGUAUGCAGAGCCACUAGUAUUGUUAUCUUGGCCACUUUUUUUAUUCAAAAUAAAUAAAAUAAUCAAGUUAUUUGUAUAUUGUGUGCAUAUUUUGUCGGGUUCACCAGUUUGUAGCAAGGGUUAGAAACCUUCUGCCCCACCCAGCACCAGCAAAGGCACUUCGAGAAGAGAAGGGGGAGAGCUGUGCCUCAGAGAAAUGGCCGUCAGCAAGGGCCCCAGAAUCAAUGCAGAAUGCCUUCAAUGGUUUAUUCUAGAGAAAGUUGAGGAAUGUAAGGGGAAAUCAGACAGCUUCAGUAGGCUGUUAGACCACAAAUACUUAAUGUCAGUUGACGAGUAUCUGGUGAGUGUUUAAGUGAAGUGCUCAUUACCAGGAUUUCAUCAACAAUAAGCAUGUGAUUCAGACAAAUCCUCCUGGUGAGAACAACCAGAAACACCAAACAGGAGAAAGAAAAUGAAUACAUGCCUCAAUGUGUGGUAAUAAAACUUCUGAAAGAUCAAAGAGAAAAAAAAACUUUAAGCAAAAAAAAAAAACACAAAUAUUUUCUCAAAAGAAAACAAGUUAACCUUAAAAAGAAAAAAUUAGUAAGAUUUAAAGAUGACUUCUCAUGGAAAUGGUAAAGAUGAGAAGGCAGUGAAC